AACCCUCUCUGUGCCACAUGAGUUCGAACCUCUUUUUCACUUCGAUAAGACAUGCAACAGCAUCGAGUACAUGGACAUGGAGCAUUUUCUUCUUUAGAUGUGCCUUCAAAUAUACUCUGAACAUAGUUCUUGAAUCCUAUUUGCCAUUCAGAAGUAAAUCAGGACAUACGCAUCCACCUCCUAUCUUCAUCUGACAUUCUUCACACUAUCAAAGAACAAGAACAACACAAUCUUCCCAAAGAAGUACUCCCUGCAACGACCAUGACAAACAUUAAUUAACAAGAAUAUCCACCCGAAUGAUAUAUGAGCAAUAAUAAAGCAUCACAGCCCAAGCUAAGGAGCAAUUAGUAAAAUAUUCCCAACAACC
rnacentral:lncRNA from 1 species